rnacentral:rRNA from 1 species
CAGCCGCCGCGGUAAUACCGGCGGCCCGAGUGGCGGCUACUCUUAUUGGGCCUAAAGCGUCCGUAGCCGGGCUGGUAAGUCCUCCGGGAAAUCUGGUCGCUUAACGAUCAGACUUCCGGAGGAUACUGCUGGCCUAGGGACCGGGAGAGGCCGAGGGGAUUCCCGGGGUAGGGGUGAAAUCCUGUAAUCCCGGGAGGACCACCUGUGGCGAAGGCGCUCGGCUGGAACGGGUCCGACGGUGAGGGACGAAGGCCAGGGGAGCGAACCGGAUUAGAUACCCGGGUAGUCCUGGCUGUAAACGAUGCGGACUAGGUGUCGGGCAAGCUAAGGGCUUGUCCGGUGCCGCAGGGAAGCCGUUAAGUCCGCCGCCUGGGGAGUACGGCCGCAAGGCUGAAACUUAAAGGAAUUGGCGGGG